rnacentral:rRNA from 1 species
AGUGAACGCUGGCGGCGUGCCUAAUACAUGCAAGUCGAACGGAGUGGCGCACGGGUGAGUAAUGUAUAGCUAAUCUGCCCUACACUAGAGGACAACAGUUGGAGACGACUGCUAAUACUCUAUAGUGUAGGAUGAGGCUAUAUUGUAUCAGCUAGUUGGUGAGGUAAUGGCUCACCAAGGCUAUGACGCAUAACUGGUCUGAGAGGAGGAGCAGUCAAACUGGAAGGGAGACACGGUCCAGAAUCCUACGGGAGGAAGCAGUAGGGAAUAUCACUCAAUGGGGGAAACUCUGAAGCGGCAUCGCCGCGUGGAGGAUGACACUUUGCGAAGCAUAAACUCCUUUUGUUAGGGAAGCGGUACCUAACGAAUAAGCACCGGCUAACUCCGUGCCAGCAGCCGCGGUAAUAC